rnacentral:rRNA from 1 species
AUACGGAGGGGGCUAGCGUUGUUCGGAAUUACUGGGCGUAAAGCGCACGUAGGCGGACUGGUCAGUUGGGGGUGAAAUCCCAGGGCUUAACCCUGGAACUGCCUUCAAUACUACCAGUCUUGAGACCGAGAGAGGUGAGUGGAAUUCCUAGUGUAGAGGUGAAAUUCGUAGAUAUUAGGAAGAACACCAGUGGCGAAGGCGGCUCACUGGCUCGGUACUGACGCUGAGGUGCGAAAGCGUGGGGAGCAAACAGGAUUAGAAACCCCAGUAGUCC